rnacentral:rRNA from 1 species
ACAAAAACAUCUCUUCUCGUUAGUUUUUGAAGUAUGGCCUGCCCACUGACCUUGAAUGUUGAAGGGCCGCGGUAUUUUGACCGUGCAAAGGUAGCAUAGUCAUUAGUUCUUUAAUUGUGAUCUGGUAUGAAUGGCUUGACGAGGCAUAAGCUGUCUUAAUUUUGAAUUGUUUAUUGAAUUUGGUCUUUGAGUUAAAAUUCUUAGAUGUUUUUAUGGGACGAGAAGACCCUAUAGAGUUUGACAUUUAUUAUGGUCUCUUUCUGUUUGUGAGGGUUCACUAGGGCUGUUUAAUAUGUUUUGUUGGGGUGAUGGGAGGGAUAUUAUUUAACCCCUCCUUUGUGUUGUUAUAUUUAUUUAUAUUUGCUUGAUCCAUUUAUUUUGAUUGUAAGAUUAAAUUACCUUAGGGAUAACAGCGUUAUCUCCCUUGAGAGUUCUUAUCGGCAGGGGGGUUUGCGACCUCGAUGUUGGAUUAAGGUUUAUUUUCGGUGUAG